CCCCCACCGCCACGUCACCUGAGAGAUCCCAGAAAUUCCUGCACUUUCCUGCGUGGCUGUGUGUGAGGGAGGGAAAAAAAUUGAGCACUACUGAUUGAUGCCUGUGGAAAAGGUGUGCAAUGUGUAACACCUGUGGACCUCUCACGUCCUGAAGAGGCCCUGGACAGGCCAGUUCGGUGGUGCAAUGGAUGGAACACUGGGCUUGGAGCCAGGAAGAUCUGGGUUCAGUUCUGAGCCUAGGUACUUACUA